rnacentral:rRNA from 1 species
UACGUAGGGUGCAAGCGUUGUCCGGAAUUAUUGGGCGUAAAGGGCUCGUAGGCGGUCUGUCACGUCGGGAGUGAAAACUCAGGGCUUAACCCUGAGCCUGCUUCCGAUACGGGCAGACUAGAGGUAUGCAGGGGAGAACGGAAGUUCCUGGUGUAGCGGUGAAAUGCGCAGAUAUCAGGAGGAACACCGGUGGCGAAGGCGGUUCUCUGGGCAUUACCUGACGCUGAGGAGCGAAAGUGUGGGGAGCGAACAGG